CAGAGGUCCCGAGCGUUGUUCGGAUUCACUGGGCGUAAAGGGUGCGUAGGUGGUGAAGUAAGUCGGAUGUGAAAUCUCGGAGCUCAACUCCGAAAUGGCAUUGGAAACUACCUUGCUUGAGGAUUGAGGGGGGACUGGAAUACUUGGUGUAGCAGUGAAAUGCGUAGAUAUCAAGUGGAACACCAGUGGCGAAGGCGAGUCCCUGGACAACUCCUGACACUGAGGCACGAAAGCUAGGGGAACAAACAGGAUUAGAUACCCUGGUAGUCCUAGCCGUAAACGGUGCACGUUUGCUGUAAAAGGAAUCGACCCCUUUUGUGGCGUAGCCAACGCGUUAAACGUGCCGCCUGGGAAGUACGGUCGCAAGAUUA
rnacentral:rRNA from 1 species